AGGCUUUGAAGUGUGGACGCCAGUCUGCAUGGAGCCGACCUUGAAAUACCACCCUUUAAUGUUUGAUGUUCUAACGUUGACCCGUAAUCCGGGUUGCGGACAGUGUCUGGUGGGUAGUUUGACUGGGGCGGUCUCCUCCUAAAGAGUAACGGAGGAGCACGAAGGUUGGCUAAUCCUGGUCGGACAUCAGGAGGUUAGUGCAAUGGCAUAAGCCAGCUUGACUGCGAGCGUGACGGCGCGAGCAGGUGCGAAAGCAGGUCAUAGUGAUCCGGUGGUUCUGAAUGGAAGGGCCAUCGCUCAACGGAUAAAAGGUACUCCGGGGAUAACAGGCUGAUACCGCCCAAGAGUUCAUAUCGACGGCGGUGUUUGGCACCUCGAUGUCGGCUCAUCACAUCCUGGGGCUGAAGUAGGUCCCAAGGGUAUGGCUGUUCGCCAUUUAAAGUGGUACGCGAGCUGGGUUUAGAACGUCGUGAGACAGUUCGGUCCCUAUCUGCCGUGGGCGCUGGAGAACUGAGGGGGGCUGCUCCUAGUACGAGAGGACCGGAGUGGACGCAUCACUGGUGUUCGGGUUGUCAUGCCAAUGGCACUGCCCGGUAGCUAAAUGCGGAAGAGAUAAGUGCUGAAAGCAUCUAAGCACGAAACUUGCCCCGAGAUGAGUUCUCCCUGACUCCUUGAGAGUCCUGAAGGAACGUUGAAGACGACGACGUUGAUAGGCCGGGUGUGUAAGCGCAGCGAUGCGUUGAGCUAACCGGUACUAAUGAACCGUGAGG
rnacentral:rRNA from 1 species